UUUAUGCUGCAGUUGUCAGUGCGCGGAUGCGCGUAUGUGUCUGUUUGUGUGUCAUCUGUCGACAGCUCGUGUGCGCGCGUGUUAUGUGGGCGGUACACUUUGAUCGUUGUUUGUUUAAGUUUCACUUACAGCUGUAGAUUCGCUAGUUGGAAAAGUAGCGUCAGUACUGAAACCGUGGCGUUUUGAACUUUGUUGUCGGUUGACUUCGUCUACGGAAGGUGCAGUGCUUGUUAGCUGCAUGAGGGAUGAGCAAGGGGGCAAAGCCUUGGCUACUCCAAGGUCCAACGUCCAGACCCUCCGUGAGCUGUUCAGUGACAAGGAUGCCAGAUGCAUGCCGCAUGUUGCCAGUCUCAAGAAGCGAGAAGGCCCAACUGAGGUGCGGAUACCUCGUCCCAGCCUCACACCAAAGCCAUCUAACAACCGGAAGUUGUCUCUUGGCUCUGCCAAGGAGUCAUCUGCUGAGCCCUCCAGCCCUGCUGGCCAGAGUAGCUUGUCAGGAAGCCUGCCUCGGGUGGGUGGGGUGUCCACCAGGAGAGCCUCCUUUGAGCAUGGCAGAGUGGCCAUAGUGCAGCAAACGGAGCUGCUGCCUCCGUCACCAGAGGUUGUUACAGCAGAAGUCUCAUCCAGUAGAUUGAGCUGUGAGGACUUCCCCUUGCCCCAGGCAUUGCAUAUGGUUGCGGGGGACAGGAGCCCUGCCUCUGAGAAGCUGUGCUGUGAUGCUUCAUCUCUGUCUGAAGAAGAGGACUAUGUGACACCCAUUUCCUUAUCAUCGAAGCCGCUAGAAGCUGGUUGCCAAGGGAGUGUUGUACCAUCACGACUGAGGAGUGAGGAAGCACUGCCGCGCACCCCAAAGUCUCCUGAGGGUUCUUCACCCAAGGUGAAACCCAAGCUUCCUGAGCCACCACUGUAUGUGCCACCACAGCUGGUGCGCCAUCCUGUGGCGCCUGGGUGGCAGCGGCGUGAGCUGCCUGUGGCAGCUGCUGCUUGUCCUCCAAAGCCAGCCAGGCCCUCUGGAAUGUGCCUGCUGACCUACUCUAGUCUACACAAUGUUGCACCCAUUGCAGCUCAGCCAGACAGACCUUCAUUGGCCAACCGAAGCACUCCCCCUGUGCCCCCAUCGCGAGCCCCACCACCCCGACCCUUGGUGCCCAAACCACCACGGCUACUGCCAUCGUUGCCCACUACACCAGCGGACGAUACAUGCUCAGAGCCCAGGCAGCCAACAUCUCCCAUCCCUGAAUACACGGAGGAUGAAGAGUUGGGCAACAUGGCAGCUGAUGAGGAGCUGUAUGCAGACACUGAAAUGGAUGAGACACCACCCUCACUGCCACCAGCACGCACUCCUCCUGCACCACCUCGACCACCAGACGAUGAGCUCUACCAAGAUACCUUGGAAGAGCUCUAUGAAGAGAUGCCAACAGACGAGACUGCAUCUGCCUUGCCACCUCCGAUAAAGGUGCUGGACAACCUGCCCAGGCAAGACAAGCGUGACAGUGUAUGCAAAGCAUUUGGGCUUCCUAGUGGCUGGGAGCAGCUGCGGCCUCUGGAUGUCGGUUGUGCACGGGCUAGCAGCAGUGGCGGCACAAAAAACCUUGACCUACCACUGCACUGUGGCGAGCCUGUGUAUGUUCUUCGAUUUGAGAACAAUCCCCCGGGCAAGUGGCUUGUGCGGAACCAUAAGGGAGAAGUGGGCUAUGCUGACCUGACGAACAUAGAGGUAGAUGCUGAAUCCAUCAAAUUCAUUAUGACAUCGCACAGAAGCCCAUGCGCAAGCUUGAGGAAGCAACAAGCAAGUGCUGUGCAAAGUGAAGAUGAAGAAGCCAUCUAUGAAGAGACCUUUUAGGCCAUGGACCCCACAUCAGCAACUGUCUCACAGAAAGAUAGAUAUUGGCUCGAUUCCACGUCUUCAUAGAAGCUCUCAACUUCCUGGUCAUCAUGACUGGAUGUAUGUAGGGGCGUAGACCUGCACAACCUUCAAUUUGUACCUCUUAUUAAGUUUCACAACAAGACCUGCCACCCUCUCGUUAAUGCUUUAG